UACAGAGGUCUCAAGCGUUGUUCGGAUUCAUUGGGCGUAAAGGGUGCGUAGGCGGCCGUGUAAGUGUGGUGUGAAAUCUCCCGGCUUAACUGGGAGGGUGCGCUACAGACUGCAUGGCUAGAGUGUGGGAGAGGAAAGCGGAAUUCCUGGUGUAGCGGUGAAAUGCGUAGAUAUCAGGAGGAACACCUGUGGUGUAGACGCUUUCUGGACCGUAGCUGACGCUGAGACACGAAAGCGUGGGUAGCAAACAGG
rnacentral:rRNA from 1 species